UGUAUAUUUACUUCCUUGACAGCUCUCCCCUAACCCCCAUACCUCAUGUAUGUGUAUGUGACUUAACAAAGUUCUUUGCACCAGGAGAGAUUCAUUCAACAAACAUUUGAUGAUGGAGAAUCGUUCUUUUUCUCAGUCUUGAGGCUAAGGGAAAAUGUAAUAUACUUGGGUUCUGCCUUUCAAGAUGGAGUCGGGAACAGAGCUGGAUUUUCUCAGAAGCCAAAUGUUCCAUCUGCUAGAAGGAAACUGCCAGAACUUUACUUAAGUAGAAGUAAGUGAUUGGAAAAUUCCCACUCCACUGACUCCAGCAUUUGGGCACUUUAGUGGCGUGCUGCCUGGGAAAGACUGUAAUGUCACGGACAUUUCUAAGGCUACAGUGGCAAUUCUGGGCUUCAUGGGUGUGACAAGUCUGACCUCUAACACACGGAUGACAAAGAGGCCAGAGAAACCGCCGAAGCCCAUUAUGGCUGCAACCAUCAGUGGCUGCCCUGGGCCCACAGGUCUCCUGAAGAACAUGGUUUUCAAUUAUUUUCCCAAAUGGCAAGCUCUCCCAGUCAAAGGCCUCCUUGAAGAGAUACUUUGCCAGUCUGUGCCAGUCUCCUGGCAGCUCUCUCUGGAGUGUUGCACACUGCCAACUUUACAGUCCUCUUUGGUGUUGAAUUUCAGGUUUCCUUUACAUUGUACCACCGUGUAUUUCUUCUUAUUUCCAAGCUAUGUUCUCCAUUUCCAAUGUCUCUGCACCGGCUUCUCCUUGGUAAAUAUAAGUCUUCCGUAGAGUGUA
rnacentral:lncRNA from 1 species